rnacentral:rRNA from 1 species
ACUCCUACGGGAGGCAGCAGUAGGAAUAUUGGUCGAUGGGUGAGAGCCUGAACCAGCCAUGCCGCGUGCAGGAAGACGGCCUUCUGGGUUGUAAACUGCUUUUACCAGGGGAUAAAAAGAUCUUGCGAGAUUAAUUGAAGGUACCUGGAGAAUAAGCACCGGCUAACUACGUGCCAGCAGCCGCGGUAAUACGUAGGGUGCAAGCGUUGUCCGGAUUUAUUGGGCGUAAAGAGCUCGUAGGCGGUUUGUCGCGUCUGUCGUGAAAGUCCGGGGCUCAACUCCGGAUCUGCGGUGGGUACGGGCAGACUAGAGUGAUGUAGGGGAGACUGGAAUUCCUGGUGUAGCGGUGGAAUGCGCAGAUAUCAGGAGGAACACCGGUGGCGAAGGCGGCCCCCUGGACAAAGACUGACGCUCAGGCACGAAAGCGUGGGGAGCAAACAGGAUUAGAUACCCUGGUAGGCUCU